AUGGGAGCGGCGCACUGCAGUCACGGCCGCCCUCUUCUUCUUGCCUGGCGCCGGCUCCACCACAUCUUCCUUGCCGCCAUCUUGUUCUUGCUUCACCACGACGCCGUCUGGGAGAUCGACCUCCGGCAGCGCAUCCACGUGGAUUGGGAGGUUCCUGUCCCCCUCCACGGCGUCGAGGACGGGAGCCAGCAGCUGCACUUCAGGCUCGUUGUCGGAGAGGACGACGACCUCAUCCACCUCGUCAGAUUCGUCAGACGACUCGUCCUCAUCAUCUUCACUGGACUCGUCGUCAGAGGACUCGUCGUCCCUUUCAGCGUUGAAGAUCCAGAUUACCAGGGGCUUGAGCUGGAAACGAUGUCUCCAUGUGAGAAGCACGGCAAGGCAUCUGAGAGGCUUGUCGCAUUUGAAGGAACAGACACAGGGAGAAGGUUCCUAGCAUGUGCAGAGCCGGAAGGGCAGAAUUGUGGGUUUGUUGAAUGGGUUGAUCACCAGUGGCCCCCAACAAUGCAAAAUGCAUUGUUGAAGCUGUGGGCCAUGGUUGAAGAUAGCAAGAGUGCUAGGGUGAAUGAUAAUCUUGAAAGUUCUUUCACUAUCCACCAUCUGACAGAAGAGAAGAACAAGCUGGAGGCCAACUAUGACAAGUUAGUCCAAGAUGUGCAUGAACUUAUGAGCUUCCAGGAGGACAGGGUGGUGGAUUUCAGAUAUCUGCAGGAUAACCUUACAUAUCAGCAGCAAUGCAGAAGUGAACUGCUGGCUGAUAUGAAGGCACAGAUGGCAAAGAAAGAUGCAGAGUUUGAGAAGCUUAAGCAGAAUUAUGAAGUGCUACUGAACCUGACAAGAGCACAAGCAACAGUCAUCCAGAACUUGAAGUUGAAGCAUAUUAAAGACAAGCAAUUGUUUAGUGAAGAUAAGAUGAACUUGGAGUUGAAGAAUGCAGAGCUCACAAAGUCUGAGGAGAAGCUCACCCAAGAGAAGCUAGAGUUGAAGCUUCAGAUUGCUGAGUUGAUGAAGGCAGAGGAGAAGCUGAAGGAGAAGAUCAAGGGGAUCCAGGCCAUCUUAGAGAAGUGA
rnacentral:rRNA from 1 species